GGGGCAAUUGGACACAGUCCAAUCACAAGUCGCUGUUCCAAGGGACCCUACAAAUGUCUCUAAUCACACGGUGCUGUGAUUGGCUGUGUCCAAAUGCACCGUGUCCAAGUGCACCGCUCCCUCGACGGACUACCACUUUGGAAAUCAAUGCCAGAUCAGUUGUGGCCAAUUUUAGCAUCUGUAAGACCGUAUGAAAAUGUUUGCACUGUUGGAAUUUAUUGUGGAAAAGAAAAACCCGCAUGCGCAAAUAAUUUUUUUGAAGAUUUAGUAAAAGAAGUUAAAAUAUUAUGUUCAGACGGAAUUAUAUUUAAUAAUCGACAUUUCCCUUGUUACAUACUUCAACUGAUAUGUGAUACACCAGCAAAGUCGUUUGCAUUAAGUGUAAUAUCACAUACGGGUUACAGAAGUUGCACAAAAUGCACAGUUCAAGGAGAUUACGUCGAAAACCGAAUUUGUUUUCCGCGCUUUGGCGCACCGUGAAGAACAGAUGAGGAUUUUAAAAAUAAAAUUGAUGAAUCAUAUCAUAAAAGCGACAUUAUAUGCAAUUUAUUGGAAAUACCAAAUUUUGGUCCAGUUACGAAUGUACCCGAAGAUUACAUGCCUGUAGUUUGUUUGGGAGUCGCUCGUAGAUCGUUAAACUUGUGGUUAUCUGGUGAUUUAAAGUAUCGUCUUCGACCUCUCAUAUAGCAACAAAUAUCAGCACGCUUAGAAAACGAGUUGUUACCAUGCCUUCCAAUUGAAUUUGGACGAAAACCAAAAUCAGUAAGAUAUGCUAGAAUGUGGAAAGCUACGGAAUAUCGCCAAUUCUUGUUCUACACGGGCCCCAUAGCUUUAAAAUCAAAAUUGCGACCUGAUCUGUAUAAUCAUUUUGUAUCCUUCUAUUCUCACGUGGCCGUAAGAAUAAUGUGCUGCAAAAAAUUACACUCCUUUUUACCAUAUGCACAACAGCUGCUAGAACAUUAUGUUUCUUCUUUCGCAAAAUUAUACGGACGUCACAAUGUCUCGCAUAAUGUCCACGGGCUUAUACAUCUUGUCGAGGAUGUCGAAAAUUUUUGUCCUUUAGAUGGUUUUAGCGCAUAUAAAUUUAAAAAUUAUAUGCAAACAUUUAAAAGACUUAUAAGAAAACCAAAUCGUUCUUACAGCAAAUUAUACGACGAAUUACUGAAAUGGAAAAUAACACAAUUGUUAUUAAGACUUCGGUGGAAACUGAAUUCAAAAUUUAUCACAAAUCAAAGCUUAAUGUUGGGCCUCUUAUUGCACGUUGUAGUGACCCUCAAUACAAAUGUAUAAGAAAUGGAAAUGUGAUGCUAAAGGCAGGAAACAAUGCAAAUUCCUGCUGUGGUUUAAGUUGUGGGAAAAUCGUCCUUAGAAAACAUAGCAUAUUGUUUGCAGGAAAAAAGUUUUGUAAUUAUAGGACGAGAAUUUCUUCAUCGAGAUGACGUCUAUAAACAACCUUGCAAUUCUUCAUUAAUUGGAAUAUAUACAGUACAUACGCUGUCAGAGUUACAAAUAUGGCCUUUACAAAAAGUUGUCAUGAAAUAUGUCAAAGUUACACUCGCAGAAAACAAUUUUGCUGUAUUUUCUUUAUUGCAUACUGAUACUAUAAAUGUCAUUUGAAUGUAGAUCUGCAAGAAUAAUGUCAUCGUCGGAGCACAAUUAUUAUGCUCGAGUUUUCCGAUAGAUUGCAAGUAAUACCAAGCAAUUGGUUAAAUGAGGAUAUGUCAAUGGCUCGAUGGCCCACUUUGACAAAUGUAUAACGUUAUGAUAAGGCUAUUCGGAACAUGGAACCACCUGAGGAAUCAUGGACAAACAUUCCAGUUAUAAAAGUGAUAGCCAAGGACUCAUCGUAUGAGGAAGCUAAGGUCAAGCUGAAAGAUGCAGAAAUAUUAACGAAUUUUGAAGAGGAUUCAGACAUAAGAGAGGACAAGUUAAAGCGAUCUAGAAAAAAGAGAGCACGAAUAAGCACUAGCAGCUGUAACGAGGAGGAAUUCGAUGGAAAAGAAGUUCAAUUAGAUCCUUUUCCCCAUCCUCCUCAAACCAUCAAUUCAAAGAAUAAUAGUUUCAUUAACAGUUACAAGGCAAAGAAAGAAAAUGCUGUUUUGAAAAAAAAUGGUAACCAGUGCUUGGCCGUAAAUGAUGCAACGCAGAUAACAAACGAUAUUCCAGUCUUUAGUAAAUCUCUUUGUACCUCACAAAGCAUGCCAGCGAAAAGAAGUUUAAACGUGUUUCAACGCUUCGUCAUGAGAACAUUAACUAACAUAAAAUUUGAUAUACAGAAUUUGCAAAGAGAAGUGAAAGCAAUUAAGAAGGAAUCAUUUGCAGCAUUGAAUCGGAAAUUUGAAAAUGAUCAAUUAGAGGAGGAGAAAAAGAAUGUACUGAUAAAUCUCCCUCUCAAGACUACUGAUGGCGAUUUACGGGAAUUGGAGGAGAACUUGACAAACAAGGAAUACAGAAAUCAAGCUAUAAAAGAGCUUCAGCAAAUCGGUGGGAAGACCUUAAAAAAAUAUGUCUUUACAGUUAAUGCGUAAAUUGUUUUCUGACGACUUGGCAAAUCAAUUUAGUUGGGUUGGUAGCAAAAAGAAAGAAGUUUUCUCAGACUUGCGUAUUUGUAAAGUAAUUCUAUAUGUGGUCAGCAAACGAUAUACAGGUGCAACCGAGGAUGACAUUGCUGCACCAAUAAAAACUUGGCUAGCGCACGUCAAAGAACGCGCUUAUCGUACAAAAAAUAAAAAAAAAAAACAAAUUAAAAAUUAAAAACUAUCAUCUUUUUAGAGUUGAAAUCAUACAAGUAUAAUUUAUUUUUAAACGACAUUUAAUUUACUUACUUUUUUUUACAUUUUCUCAAAAACGUUUAGUUGCGGCAUUAAUUUCCUCAUUAUGAUAAUUUGUUUUUAUCGUUUUAUAACAACAAUUUUAGACGUAUUAUUAUUUAUUCAUUUGGACCUUGGAUAAUAUGACUUGUUUGCCGAA